rnacentral:rRNA from 1 species
GAGUUUGAUCCUGGCUCAGGAUGAACGCUGGCGGCGUGCCUAAUACAUGCAAGUCGAGCGAACGGACGAGAAGCUUGCUUCUCUGAUGUUAGCGGCGGACGGGUGAGUAACACGUGGGUAACCUACCUAUAAGACUGGGAUAACUCCGGGAAACCGGGGCUAAUACCGGAUAACACAUGAAACCGCAUGGUUUCAUGAUGAAAGACGGUCUUGCUGUCACUUAUAGAUGGAUCCGCGCUGCAUUAGCUAGUUGGUAAGGUAACGGCUUACCAAGGCAACGAUGCAUAGCCGACCUGAGAGGGUGAUCGGCCACACUGGAACUGAGACACGGUCCAGACUCCUACGGGAGGCAGCAGUAGGGAAUCUUCCGCAAUGGGCGAAAGCCUGACGGAGCAACGCCGCGUGAGUGAUGAAGGUCUUCGGAUCGUAAAACUCUGUUAUUAGGGAAGAACAUAUGUGUAAGUAACUGUGCACAUCUUGACGGUACCUAAUCAGAAAGCCACGGCUAA